rnacentral:lncRNA from 1 species
AUGUCCGUCGGUCCGUCCUCGCCUCUCCCCGGGGCCCGGGGCCCGGGGCCGGGGGGUCGGGCUGCCCCCCCGCCUCGCCGCCUCACCGGGCGGCCAUGGCCCCUUCCCCUCCCUUCUCGUCCCGUCGCCGCCUCCUCCUCCUCACCCCACCCCGCCCGCGCGCAGUCCGCGCGCCGUCCGCGCGCCCCUCCCCCCGCCCCCCACUCCAGCCCGCCUCUCCCGGGCGGGGGGUGCGGCGCGAGCCCGGAGCGCGCGCGCGUGCCGCGACCGGAGGAUGGAUGGAUGGAGCGAGCGAGGACGCGAGCGUGCGCGCGCGCGCCCCUCUCCCCCCUCCCUCGGCGCGGGCGCGAGGCCAGGCGCGAGCGCGCUCCAACCUCCUCCUCUUCCUCCUCCCGCCCCUCCUCAACACCCCGCCCUCGCCCUCCCUUCCUCUUCCUCCUUUCGCUUUCGCGCGCCCAGCGACUGCUCGCGCCUGCUAGAAGGGCCCGAGCGCGUGCAUCUGCCCGGCGGCCGCAGCUCGGCAGCAUUUGCUCCAGGGGGCGGGGACCGGGAGGGGAGGAGGGGCGCCACGCCGCCGUCCAAAGUACCGGCGGACGGGACCUGGGGCGGGGAGAUGGGUGGGGCCUCCGUAGACGAGUCCGGCCAAUCGCGGAGUGUCCUCGGCCCGGGAGGCCCAAUAGGCUCGAGAUCCCACACCUGCUCGCCUUUCCUGCUUCCGGAGCCCACGCUGGACCCUCCACCUCUCAGACAGACUGCUUAGCACUGGCCAGACUCUGCCUACACUAAAAGCUGCUCCGCUGGGAGUGGCCUCACCCUCCAUCUCUCGCCUCUUUAGCUUCGGGAGGAAAGGUCCUUUUCUCAGCCACCCAAGGUGUUUAGAUCUGCGCUCACAUCUACGUGGCCGUGUCUACAUCCUCGAGACUUUUGCGUGCCAGGCCUCUAGCUUCAGAUAAAAUUAAACUCUGGAAUCACGUACUUUGAGACCAUCCUUGGUUCUUCGCUCUUCAGCAAACAUGUAUGGAGGUUCUUGGUAGAUAUUUCGAAGCGGAUAAGACCACACGUUAGUUCUGAAUUUAACUCGGUGGACCAGGCAAAAGACCUUCUUACGCCUCUUUUGUCCAUUACCAGAGGACAUAAUGAUAGUACCUAUUUCAUAGGAAAGACUUAACAAUUAAGUUUAUGCCUAGCCACUCCUUUUACCACAACAGAGAGAGGUAGAGAGGCAGGAGGAUCUCUGUGAGUUGAGGCCAGCCUAAUCUACAUAAAUACUUCCGGGGCUACAUAGUGAAACCCUGUCUCAAACAACCGAAGCUAACAAGGCAUAGGAGAGACUCUUAGGUGUCUGGUAAUCUUGUAUUGUCUUUUGUUUUCACUCCAUUGACACAUGGUCUUAUUAUGUAGCCCAUCCUGCUUCAGCCUCCCCAGUGCGGGGAUUACAGUAC